rnacentral:rRNA from 1 species
GAUGAACGCUAGCGAUAGGCUUAACACAUGCAAGUCGAGGGGCAGCAUGGUCUUAGCUUGCUAAGACUGAUGGCGACCGGCGCACGGGUGCGUAACGCGUAUGCAACUUGCCUCACAGAGGGGGAUAACCCGUCGAAAGACGGACUAAUACCGCGUACACUUGGGAUAGGGCAUCCUGACCCAAGGAAAUAAAAUUCGCUGUGAGAUAGGCAUGCGUCCCAUUAGCUAGUUGGUGAGGUAACGGCUCACCAAGGCGACGAUGGGUAGGGGAACUGAGAGGUUGAACCCCCACACUGGUACUGAGACACGGACCAGACUCCUACGGGAGGCAGCAGUGAGGAAUAUUGGUCAAUGGGCGAGAGCCUGAACCAGCCAAGUCGCGUGAAGGAUGACUGUCUUAUGGAUUGUAAACUUCUUUUAUACGGGAAUAACAAGAGUCACGUGUGGCUCCCUGCAUGUACCGUAUGAAUAAGCAUCGGCUAACUCCGUG